GGCCGAGUAGCAAAGUGGUAAUGCAGGGGACUGCAAAUCCCCUAUACAUCGGUUCGAUUCCGAUCUCGGCCU
rnacentral:tRNA from 1 species